GAUGAACGCUGGCGGCGUGCCUAAUACAUGCAAGUCGAGCGAACAGACGAGGAGCUUGCUCCUCUGACGUUAGCGGCGGACGGGUGAGUAACACGUGGAUAACCUACCUAUAAGACUGGGAUAACUUCGGGAAACCGGAGCUAAUACCGGAUAAUAUAUUGAACCGCAUGGUUCAAUAGUGAAAGACGGUUGUGCUGUCACUUAUAGAUGGAUCCGCGCCGCAUUAGCUAGUUGGUAAGGUGACGGCUUACCAAGGCGACGAUGCGUAGCCGACCUGAGAGGGUGAUCGCACACCCUGGAACUGAGACACGGUCCAGACUCCUACGGGGGGCAGCAGUAGGGAAUCUUCCGCGAUGGGCGAGAGCCUGACGGAGCACCGCCGCGUGAGUGAUGAAGGUCUUCGGCUCGUAAAACUCUGUUAUUAGGAAAGAACAAAUGUGUAAGUACCUAUGCACGUCUUGACGGUACCUGAUCAGAAAGCCACGGCUAACUACGUG
rnacentral:rRNA from 1 species